GACGAACGCUGGCGGCGUGCCUAAUACAUGCAAGUCGAGCGAUGAUUAAAGAUAGCUUGCUAUUUUUAUGAAGAGCGGCGAACGGGUGAGUAACGCGUGGGAAAUCUGCCGAGUAGCGGGGGACAACGUUUGGAAACGAACGCUAAUACCGCAUAACAAUGAGAAUCGCAUGAUUCUUAUUUAAAAGAAGCAAUUGCUUCACUACUUGAUGAUCCCGCGUUGUAUUAGCUAGUUGGUAGUGUAAAGGACUACCAAGGCUAUGAUACAUAGCCGACCUGGGAGGAGGAGCCACAACACCGGGACUGAGACACGGCCCUGACUCCUACGGGAGGCAUCAGCAGGGUAUAUUCGAAAUGGGGGCAACCCUGACCGAGCAACGCCGCGUGAGUGAAGAAGGUUUUCGGAUCGUAAAACUCUGUUGUUAGAGAAGAACGUUAAGUAGAGUGGAAAAUUACUUAAGUGACGGUAUCUAACCAGAAAGGGACGGCUAACUACGUGCCAGCCGCCGCAGUAA
rnacentral:rRNA from 1 species